UACGAAGGGUGCAAGCGUUACUCGGAAUUACUGGGCGUAAAGCGCGCGCAGGCGGCCUUUCAAGUCAGUGGUGAAAGCCCGGAGCUCAACUCCGGAACUGCCAUUGAAACUGUUUGGCUUGAGUACGAGAGAGGUGAGUGGAAUUCCCAGUGUAGAGGUGAAAUUCGUAGAUAUUGGGAAGAACACCGGUGGCGAAGGCGGCUCACUGGCUCGUUACUGACGCUCAGGCGCGACAGCGUGGGGAUCAAACAGG
rnacentral:rRNA from 1 species